AAAAACCGCCCAUACUGAUAUUGUGAUGCUAACCAUGCGAAGCAUGAUGUGCAGGCUUUUGUUUGUGUGUUGUGUGGGUUGUGGGACCCGAUCUUUGGAGGUAAACGUAUUAACAGGUGUGACGCAGGAAGGUAGCCAAGCCACGCGAUGGUUGUCGUGGUCUAAGCGUGUAGGGUUGUCGGUUGUUAAAUGCGCCGGCUGUGUGCCUGAGACGUGAUGGGACCCCGUUUUUGGGGGAUUUGGUGAUCCUAUGCUGCCGAGAAAAGCAUCGGCGUGAGGUUUUAGCCGCCCGUACCCUAAACCGACACAGGUGAUCAGGUAGAGAAUACUAAGGCGAUCGAGAGAAUCAUGGUUAAGGAACUCGGCAAAAUGCCCCCGUAACUUCGGGAGAAGGGGGACCUUGAGCGUGAUGGGCACUUGCUGCCUGGAGCGUGUAUGGGUCGCAGAGACCAGGGGGAAGCGACUGUUUAUCAAAAACACAGGUCCGUGCGAAGUCGUAAGACGAUGUAUACGGACUGACUCCUGCCCGGUGCUGGAAGGUUAAGAGGAUUGGUUAGCCCUUUUGGGCGAAGCUGAGAAUUUAAGCCCCAGUAAACGGCGGUGGUAACUAUAACCAUCCUAAGGUAGCGAAAUUCCUUGUCGGGUAAGUUCCGACCUGCACGAAUGGCGUAACGACUUCCCCGCUGUCUCAACCAUGAGCUCGGCGAAAUUGCAGUACGAGUAAAGAUGCUCGUUUCGCGCAGAAGGACGGAAAGACCCCGGGACCUUUACUACAGCUUGGUAUUGGCGCCCGCUAUAGCUUGUGCAGGAUAGGUGGGAGACUGUGAAGCCGUCACGCUAGUGGUGGUGGAGUCGUUGUUGAAAUACCACUCUGGUCAAUCUGGAUGUCUAACUUCGGGCCAUGAUCUGGUUCAGGGACAGUGCCUGAUGGGUAGUUUAACUGGGGCGGUUGCCUCCUAAAGUGUAACGGAGGCGCCCAAAGGUUCCCUCAGCCUGGUUGGCAAUCAGGUGUUGAGUGUAAGUGCACAAGGGAGCUUGACUGUGAGAGUGGCGACUCGAGCAGGGACGAAAGUCGGGACUAGUGAUCCGGCAGUGGCUUGUGGAA
rnacentral:rRNA from 1 species